ACGCAGCCGCGGUAAUUCCAGCUCCAAUAGCGUAGUAUUAAAGUUGUUGCAGUUAAAAAGCUCGUAGUUGAAUUUCGGGAUUAGUACGUUGGUCGUGCCUAUGGUAUGCACUGGCUUUACUGAUUCCUCCUUCUUGAAGAACUGUAAUGUCAUUAAUUUGGUGUUGCAGGGAAACAGGACUGUUACUUUGAAAAAUUAGAGUGUUUAAAGCAGGCUAACGCUUGAAUACAUUAGCAUGGAAUAAUGAAAUAGGACGUUUGAUCCUAUUUUGUUGGUUUCUAGGAUUGACGUAAUGAUUAAUAGGGAUAGUUGGGGGCAUUAGUAUUCAAUUGUCAGAGGUGAAAUUCUUGGAUUUAUUGAAGACUAACUACUGCGAAAGCAUUUGCCAAGGAUGUUUUCAUUAAUCAAGACGAAGUUAGGGGAUCGAAGACGAUCAGAUACCGUCGUAGUCUUAACCAUAAACUAUAGCCGACUAGGGAUCGGAUGAUGUUAA
rnacentral:rRNA from 1 species